rnacentral:rRNA from 1 species
GAGUUUGAUCCUGGCUCAGGACGAACGCUGGCGGCGUGCUUAACACAUGCAAGUCGAACGGUGAAGCCUCUUCGGGGGUGGAUCAGUGGCGAACGGGUGAGUAACACGUGAGCAACCUGCCCUUGACUCUGGGAUAACUCCGGGAAACCGGUGCUAAUACCGGAUAUGACGCGCGAAGGCAUCUUCUGCGUGUGGAAAGAUUUAUUGGCCAAGGAUGGGCUCGCGGCCUAUCAGCUUGUUGGUGGGGUAAAGGCCUACCAAGGCGACGACGGGUAGCCGGCCUGAGAGGGCGACCGGCCACACUGGGACUGAGACACGGCCCAGACUCCUACGGGAGGCAGCAGUGGGGAAUAUUGCGCAAUGGGCGAAAGCCUGACGCAGCGACGCCGCGUGAGGGAUGAAGGCCUUCGGGUCGUAAACCUCUUUCAGCAGGGAAGAAGCGAGAGUGACGGUACCUGCAGAAGAAGCACCGGCUAACUACGUGCCAGCAGCCGCGGUAAUACGUAGGGUGCAAGCGUUGUCCGGAAUUAUUGGGCGUAAAGAGCUCGUAGGCGGUCUGUCGCGUCUGCUGUGAAAACUCGGGGCUUAACCCCGGGCCUGCAGUGGGUACGGGCAGACUAGAGUGCGGUAGGGGAGACUGGAAUUCCUGGUGUAGCGGUGAAAUGCGCAGAUAUCAGGAGGAACACCGGUGGCGAAGGCGGGUCUCUGGGCCGUAACUGACGCUGAGGAGCGAAAGCAUGGGGAGCGAACAGGAUUAGAUACCCUGGUAGUCCAUGCCGUAAACGUUGGGCGCUAGGUGUGGGGCUCUUUCCACGAGUUCCGUGCCGCAGCAAACGCAUUAAGCGCCCCGCCUGGGGAGUACGGCCGCAAGGCUAAAACUCAAAGGAAUUGACGGGGGCCCGCACAAGCGGCGGAGCAUGCGGAUUAAUUCGAUGCAACGCGAAGAACCUUACCAAGGCUUGACAUGAGGCGAAAACUGGCAGAGAUGUCAGGUCCGCAAGGGCGCCUUACAGGUGGUGCAUGGUUGUCGUCAGCUCGUGUCGUGAGAUGUUGGGUUAAGUCCCGCAACGAGCGCAACCCUCGUUCUAUGUUGCCAGCACGUUAUGGUGGGGACUCAUAGGAGACUGCCGGGGUCAACUCGGAGGAAGGUGGGAUGACGUCAAAUCAUCAUGCCCCUUAUGUCUUGGGCUUCACGCAUGCUACAAUGGCCAGUACAAAGGGCUGCGAGACCGUAAGGUGGAGCGAAUCCCAAAAAGCUGGUCUCAGUUCGGAUCGGGGUCUGCAACUCGACCCCGUGAAGUCGGAGUCGCUAGUAAUCGCAGAUCAGCAACGCUGCGGUGAAUACGUUCCCGGGCCUUGUACACACCGCCCGUCACGUCACGAAAGUCGGUAACACCCGAAGCCGGUGGCCCAACCCUUGUGGAGGGAGCCGUCGAAGGUGGGACUGGCGAUUGGGACGAAGUCGUAACAAGGUAGCCGUACCGGAAGGUGCGGCUGGAUCACCUCCUUUCU